rnacentral:rRNA from 1 species
ACGAACGCUGGCGGCGUGGAUUAGGCAUGCAAGUCGCGCGACGGACCUUCGGGUUACGGAGCGGCGAACGGGUGAGUAACACGUGAGAAACCUACCGCAUCAUUCCGGAUAAUUGGUCGAAAGGCCUUGUAAUACGGGGGAGGUUCGUUGAUGGGCAUCCAUUAACGAACGAACGAGUAAUCGGUGCUGUGAUGGUCUCGCGGCUUAUCAGGUAGUUGGUGGGGUAACGGCCUACCAAGCCUACGACGAGUAGCUGGUCUGAGAGGAUGGUCAGCCACAUUGGAACUGAGACACUGUCCAGACUCCUACGGGAGGCUGCAGUCGAGAAUCUUGGGCAAUGCACGAAAGUGUGACCCAGCGACGCCGCGUGAAGGAUGAAGGCCCUCUGGGUCGUAAACUUCUUUUACGGGAGAAGAAGAACUGACGGUAUCCCGUGAAUAAGCCACGGCUAACUACGU